rnacentral:rRNA from 1 species
UAAAUAGCCCGUAUUGCUUUGGCAGUAUGUUGGCUUCUUAGAGGGACUUUUGACGCAAGUUAAAGGAAGUUUGAGGCAAUAACAGGUCUGUGAUGCCCUUAGAUGUCCUGGGCUGCACGCGCGCUACACUGAUGGAGCCAGCGAGUCCUCCCUUGGCCUAAAGGCCCGGGUAAUCUUAUGAAACUCU